GUAACGCGUGGGUAACGUACCCUGAUCCUGGGAAUAACCCUCGGAAACGAGGGCUAAUACCGAAUGUGGCGAACGACCGGUUGGUCGCUCGCUAAAGGUGGCCUCUUCUAUGCUGCCGGGUUGGGAUCGGCCCGCGUCCCAUUAGCUAGUUGGUGAGGUAACGGCUCACCAAGGCCACGAUGGGUAGCCGGCCUGAGAGGGUGUACGGCCACACUGGCACUGAGACAAGGGCCAGUCCCCUAUGGGAGGCGCAGGCGGGAAUAGUUCACAAUGGGCGAAAGCCUGAUGACGCGACGCCGCGUGAGCGAAGAAGACCUUCGGGUUGUAAAGCUCUGUCAGGAGGGAAGAAGGCUCUACGGGUUAAUAGCCCGUGGAAUUGACGGUACCUCCAGAGGAAGCCCCGGCUAAAUACGUGCCAGCAGCCGCGGUAAUACGUAUGGGGCAAGCGUUGUCCGGAUUUACUGGGCGUAAAGGGCGCGUAGGCGGUUUGUUAAGUCGAAGGUGAAAUCCUCGGGCUCAACUCGAGAAUUGCCUUCGAUACUGGCAAACUAGAGUGGCGGAGAGGAAAGCGGAACUCUUGGUGUAACGGUGGAAUGUGUAGAUAUCAAGAGGAACACCGGUGGCGAAGGCGGCUUUCUGGACGCACACUGACGCUCAGGCGCGAAAGCGUGGGUAGCAAACAGGAUUAGAUACCCUGGUAGUCCACGCCAUAAACGAUGGGUACUAGGUGUCGGGGGUAUCGACCCCUCCGGUGCCGCAGUUAACGCACUAAGUACCCCGCCUGGGGAUUAUGGUCGCAAGGCUGAAACUCAAAGGAAUUGACGGGGCGCCGCACAAGCGGUGGAGCAUGUGGUUUAAUUCGACGCAACGCGAAGAACCUUACCUGGGCUUGACAUGCUUGGGACAGCGCUGGAAACAGCGUCUCUCCUUCGGGAGCCCUUGCACAGGUGCUGCAUGGCUGUCGUCAGCUCGUGUCGUGAGAUGUUGGGUUAAGUCCCGCAACGAGCGCAACCUUCGUUACUAGUUGCCAUCAGUUCGGCUGGGCACUCUAGUGAGACUGCCGGUGAUAAACCGGAGGAAGGUGAGGAUGAUGUCAAGUCAUCAUGGCCCUUACGCCCAGGGCUACACACGUGCUACAAUGGUCGGCACAAAGGGUCGCUAAGACCGCGAGGUGGAGCUAAUCCCAAAAAACCG
rnacentral:rRNA from 1 species